UACAGAGGUCCCGAGCGUUGUUCGGAUUCAUUGGGCGUAAAGGGUGCGUAGGCGGCGGGGGAAGUCGGGUGUGAAAUCUCGGAGCUUAACUCCGAAACUGCAUUCGAUACUGCCGUGCUUGAGGACUGGAGAGGAGACUGGAAUUUACGGUGUAGCGGUGAAAUGCGUAGAUAUCGUAAGGAAGACCAGUGGCGAAGGCGGGUCUCUGGGCCGAUACUGACGCUGAGGAGCGAAAGCGUGGGGAGCGAACAGG
rnacentral:rRNA from 1 species